rnacentral:rRNA from 1 species
CACGUAGGCACCAAGCGUUGUCCGGAUUUAUUGGGCGUAAAGAGCUCGUAGGCGGUUGAGUAAGUCGGGUGUGAAAACUCUGGGCUUAACCCAGAGCCGCCACUCGAUACUGCUCUGACUUGAGUUCGGUAGGGGAGCAGGGAAUUCCUAGUGUAGCGGUGAAAUGCGUAGAGAUGUGGAGGAACACCGAUGGCGAAGGCAGCCCCCCUGGGCUAACACUGACGCUCAUGCACGAAAGCGUGGGGAGCAAACAGG